rnacentral:rRNA from 1 species
UACGGAGGGUGCAAGCGUUAAUCGGAAUUACUGGGCGUAAAGCGUGCGUAGGUGGUUCGUUAAGUCCGUUGUGAAAGCCCCGAGCUCAACUUGGGAAUUGCAGUGGAUACUGGCGAGCUGGAGUGCGGUAGAGGAAGGUGGAAUUCCCGGUGUAGCGGUGAAAUGCGUAGAUAUCCGCAGGAAUACCAGUGGCGAAGGCGGCACUCUGGGUUGUACCUGACGCUGAUGUGCGAAGGCUAGGGGAGCGAACAGG